rnacentral:rRNA from 1 species
CCAACAGGGAUUGCCCUAGUAACGGCGAGUGAAGCGGCAACAGCUCAAAUUUGAAAUCUGGCUCUUUCAGAGUCCGAGUUGUAAUUUGCAGAGGGCGCUUUGGCUUUGGCAGCGGUCCAAGUUCCUUGGAACAGGACGUCACAGAGGGUGAGAAUCCCGUACGUGGUCGCUAGCUAUUGCCGUGUAAAGCCCCUUCGACGAGUCGAGUUGUUUGGGAAUGCAGCUCUAAAUGGGAGGUAAAUUUCUUCUAAAGCUAAAUAUUGGCCAGAGACCGAUAGCGCACAAGUAGAGUGAUCGAAAGAUGAAAAGCACUUUGGAAAGAGAGUCAAACAGCACGUGAAAUUGUUGAAAGGGAAGCGCUUGCAGCCAGACUUGCUUGCAGUUGCUCAUCCGGGCUUUUGCCCGGUGCACUCUUCUGCAGGCAGGCCAGCAUCAGUUUGGGCGGUGGGAUAAAGGUCUCUGUCAUGUACCUCUCUUCGGGGAGGCCUUAUAGGGGAGGCGACAUACCACCAGCCUAGACUGAGGUCCGCGCAUCUGCUAGGAUGCUGGCGUAAUGGCUGUAAGCGGCCCGUCUUGAAACACGGACCAAGGAGUCUAACAUCUAUGCGAGUGUUUGGGUGUCAAGCCCGAGCGCGUAAUGAAAGUGAACGGAGGUGGGAACCCGCAAGGGUGCACCAUCGACCGAUCCUGAAGUUUACGGAAGGAUUUGAGUAAGAGCAUGGCUGUUGGGACCCGAAAGAUGGUGAACUAUGCUUGAAUAGGGUGAAGCCAGAGGAAACUCUGGUGGAGGCUCGCAGCGGUUCUGACGUGCAAAUCGAUCGUCAAAUUUGGGCAUAGGGGCGAAAGACUAAUCG